rnacentral:sRNA from 1 species
CAUUUUCAGUAAAGAAGUCCUGAGUAAACACGUUGUCGUUGAAUACCGCUUCUCUGCCGAACCUUAUAUUAGUGCCUCAUGCAGUAAUGUCUCAGUUUUAUCUCAGUGAAUGCCCACGGGCUAAGAAAACAUUCAAAGGAAUUUUGCAAAUGGCAAAGAUUAAAGGUCAAGUUAAGUGGUUCAACGAGUCUAAAGGUUUUGGUUUCAUUACUCCUGCUGACGGCAGCAAAGAUGUGUUCGUACACUUCUCUGCAAUCCAGGGUAACGGCUUCAAAACUCUGGCUGAAGGCCAGAACGUUGAGUUCGAAAUUCAGGACGGCCAGAAAGGUCCGGCUGCUGUUAACGUAACCGC